GAUGAACGCUGGCGGCGUGCCUAAUACAUGCAAGUCGAGCGAACAGACGAGGAGCUUGCUCCUCUGACGUUAGCGGCGGACGGGUGAGUAACACGUGGAUAACCUACCUAUAAGACUGGGAUAACUUCGGGAAACCGGAGCUAAUACCGGAUAACAUGGUGAACCGCAUGGUUCAACAGUGAAAGACGGUCUUGCUGUCACUUAUAGAUGGAUACGUGCCGCAUUAGCUAGUUGGUAAGGUAACGGCUUACCAAGGCAACGAUGCGUAGCCGACCUGAGAGGGUGAUCGGCCACACUGGAACUGAGACACGGUCCAGACUCCUACGGGAGGCAGCAGUAGGGAAUCUUCCGCAAUGGGCGAAAGCCUGACGGAGCAACGCCGCGUGAGUGAAGAAGGUCUUCGGAUCGUAAAACUCUGUUAUUAGGGAAGAACAAAUGUGUAAGUAACUAUGCACGUCUUGACGGUACCUAAUCAGAAAGCCACGGCUAACUACGUGCCAGCCGCCGCAGUAA
rnacentral:rRNA from 1 species